ensembl:lncRNA
UCCCACUGAACGGAAAAAGUCCACUUCGGUUUUUCCGCGAAGCUCCAAAAAUCCAUGAAAUGUGUUUGCAUGUUCCUCUCUGCAAGCGGGGAUGUAGAGGUGGGAUCGCGAGGACCGAGGAAGCUGGGGGGAACCCACGCGCUCAGCCUCACAGAAAGUACGCUUUUUACCAAAUAACUAACGCUGAAUAUUUGUAUUUCUUCUUUUUUUUUCUUUUUUUACAUUUGUCACUAGCAGGCGGCCACUCCGUAUGAGUGUGUUCUCGGAGAAUAAGCUCUUUUUUUUCUGCCCUUUUUCUUUUUUCUUUUUUUUUGGUCACCAUUCUGCACGGCAGGCUGAGAGACGGAGCGCUCGGGCUGUGGGAGCCUUUCCGUCCCCCCCCCCCACCCCCUCACCCCCUCCAACCCCCCCUGCUCGGAUAUCUGCUUCGGUAGCUUCCGGACGGCCCAUGGAACCACGUGGAUGAGGGCUGAGCUGUAGAGCGGGCAGAAGCCUGCCUGUCGUCGGCCCGGGGCCCGUCGCGCCACCGAGGUCAAGCGCCAAUCGCAGAAAACGGACCGAGACGAGGUCUUUGCUCCCACUCCUCGCUCACCCCCGCCCCCCUUUCCACCCUCCCCCUCCCACCCCCCCCCC